UUCUCUGUAAAUGAACAGCUUGUUUCACAAUUCAAGUAAACGUUUUAGACGUUUGAAAAAUAGGAUGAAUAUUCAUUCGUCGAUGUUAUAGGUUAGCAUAUUUUAGUGAAGUAUUAAAAGAAACGUUUUUCCUUAGAAAAUGGAAAGACAGAAUUUUGUUGGUAACCAAGGUUUCCUUUUCUAUUUAUCCGUGGAAUUUUCAUAAGGUACGCGUUUGACGAUGCACCUGCGACAAAUUUUCGAUCCCCAUGGGCCAAACAAUUUGUGGACAAAGCGAAUUUACUUGGUGAUUUAUAAAGACGUAAAAUUGUUAAGAUGGUGUACAGGAAGCUUAGUCUGUAAUACGGUUUCCUGAAACAUGUCUACUUUUCGAAGAAACGUAUAUACGAACGAGCA